UGGUCACCUUUUCUGUUAAUGCCCUCUGGAGUACCUGGCAUUCGCCACUGGUGAAAGACAGGAUCCUGGGCUAGAUGGACCAUUGGUCUGACCCAGUAUGGCCAUUCUUAU